rnacentral:rRNA from 1 species
GUGAGGAAUUUUCCGCAAUGGGCGAAAGCCUGACGGAGCAAUGCCGCGUGAAGGAUGAAGGCCUAUGGGUUGUAAACUUCUUUUCUCAGAAAAGAAUUAUGACGGUAUCUGAGGAAUAAGCAUCGGCUAACUCUGUGCCAGCAGCCGCGGUAAGACAGAGGAUGCAAGCGUUAUCCGGAAUGAUUGGGCGUAAAGCGUCUGUAGGUUGUUUAAAAAGUAUUCUGUCAAAGAUUAGGGCUUAACCCUAGAUAGGCAGAAUAAACUUUUAAGCUAGAGUUCGGUAGAGGCAGAGGGAAUUCCCGGUGGAGCGGUGAAAUGCGUAGAUAUCGGGAGGAACACCAAAGGCGAAGGCACUCUGCUGGGCCAAUACUAACACUGAGAGACGAAAGCGAGGGGAGCAAAUGGGAUUAGAAACCCGGGUAGUCC